GAAAUCCAUACAUACUGUUCAGAAUCGUAUGUGUCGAACACAUUCUGUCUUUGUCUAUUCAAUUGCCUUUGGUCGCAUUUGUUCGACUUCAAUUUUGUGUAGAGUACAGAGAAAGAGAAUGACAUUUAGUUAUCAAAUGUGAACGAAUCAAAAGGUGCCUAACGAAAAACACAAGCACACAAAUUCAAGAAAAUAAACGUGAAUUUCUUUUAUUCCUUGAACGGUAGCGUAAAGAAUUCAUUUUAUUUAAAUUGAAAAUUGGUUUUGUGACAGCAACGUUGAGUUGCUUAAAAACAAAUACCAUAAACAAUGUGCUAAAUCCAUUAUAUUUGACCUCGGAUUUUUGGACAGAUUUCCAACCAAAAAUUACGAUACACAAUCCAUUGGAUAAACAUCUCAAAUCGGAAAUUUUCUGUUUUUUUCGUGUGUGUUUUUCCGGUAAAUAACAAAAAAAAACCACCACAUAACUUAAAAUCUUGCGAUUGAACCUGUUUUGGUGAGUGGCUUCCGAUUAUUCCGCUCCAACGACACAGACGGGAACAUUUUCUUUUCGAAAUCGAAUAUCAAAAAGAGUUGAAUUUUGAAUAAUCAACGAAUUUUGAAAAUGACACACGAUCUAUUGCGUAUUAUUCCGUCGGAAAUUCCGCGACCCUCCAAACGUGGUAAAUCGUUUUUUGCCAAAGGUGAUUUCUUGUACUUUCAUUACUGUUGUGAUAAUUACAAUGAUGUGGGCUGGGGAUGUGCCUAUCGUACUCUUCAAUCAAUGUGCUCUUGGAUAGCUAAGAAUCGUAAUUCAAUGGAUGUGGAUAGUGAUCAUCAAAUCAUAGGCACCAAUGACAUUCCCUCCAUCGAAGAAAUUCAACAAACAUUGGUCAAUAUCAACGAUAAACCGCCCGAAUUUCUAAACUCAACGGAUUGGCUUGGCGCAUUGGAGAUCUUCUAUGUGAUUGAUACGAUCUAUGAUAUAUCGUGUCGCAUUCAACAUAUACCAAGCUGCCAUGACAUCCGAAAGUAUAGCAAUAUUAUCAAAUUCUAUUUUGAAAAUUUUGGCGGUCUAAUAAUGAUGGGCGGCGAUUUGGAUGGAUCUAGCAAAUGCAUCGCUGGCAUUCACGUCGUCGAUAAUGACGCAUACUUGCUUGUUGUGAAGCGAUACACAGUAUAUCGGUGAGUGGACAGAGGGAUGAUACACGACUAGGGUUUUGAGAUCAAAUAGCAAAGCAAAUAAUUAUUGUGAAAUGUAUGAGUCGAAAUUCGAAAUUCGUCACAAUAAAAUUCACGAAGGAUGAUGAUUGACACUUUUUCGCCCUCAACAAAGCCGAACUGUAAAACAAUUCGGACCACAUGGAUCACAUUUAGCUGUGCGCUGUCUGAACGUCGGGUAUUCGGUCCGAUUUGAUUGUUUUCUCUUUUCUUCUCAAUGCAAAUGUCGCUCAUCUCAUCUCAACGACAGAUUAGGAUACAGAAUCAAAAUGCCACGAAACGAACGAAAAGAAUGAAUAAAAAAAUCUUAUAAUUUGUAUUCAAACGUGCUGUUAAUAUAAGUUAUAAGCUUUUUUUGUGUGUGCCAAAGGAUCCACAUUUCGUUGGUGUACCAAAAUCGGUUGACGACUUAAUUAGCCAAGGGUACAUUCGAUGGCAGCACACAUCGGAUUUUGUCGAUAGCUCAUUUUAUAAUUUAUGCUUACCUC